rnacentral:rRNA from 1 species
GAUGAACGCUGGCGGCGUGCUUAACACAUGCAAGUCGAACGGAAAGGCCAGUGCUUGCACUGGUACUCGAGUGGCGAACGGGUGAGUAACACGUGGGUGAUCUGCCCUGCACUUCGGGCUAAGCCUGGGAAACUGGGUCUAAUACCGGAUAGGACAAUGGUUUGGAUGCCGUUGUGGAAAGUUUUUUCGGUGUGGGAUGAGCUCGCGGCCUAUCCGCUUGUUGGUGGGGUAAUGGCCUACCAAGGCGUCUACGGGUAGCCGGCCUGAGAGGGUGUACGGCCACAUUGGGACUGAGAUACGGCCCAGACUCCUACGGGAGGCAGCAGUGGGGAAUAUUGCACAAUGGGCGCGAGCCUGAUGCGGCGACGCCGCGUGGGGGAUGACGGCCUUCGGGUUGUAAACUCCCUUCGCUAGGGACGAAGCGUAUUUGUGACGGUACCUGGAGAAGAAGCACCGGCUAACUACGUG